GACGAACGCUGGCGGCGUGCCUAAUACAUGCAAGUCGAGCGCAGGAAACUGACGGAACUCUUCGGAGGGAAGGCAGUGGAAUGAGCGGCGGACGGGUGAGUAACACGUAAGGAACCUGCCUCAAGGAUUGGGAUAACUCCGAGAAAUCGGAGCUACUACCGGAUAGUUCAACGGACCGCAUGGUCCGCUGAUGAAAGGCGCUCCGGCGUCACCUUGAGAUGGCCUUGCGGUGCAUUAGCUAGUUGGUGGGGUAACGGCCCACCAAGGCGACGAUGCAUAGCCGACCUGAGAGGGUGAUCGGCCACACUGGGACUGAGACACGGCCCAGACUCCUACGGGAGGCAGCAGUAGGGAAUCUUCCACAAUGGACGAAAGUCUGAUGGAGCAACGCCGCGUGAGUGAUGGAGGUUUUCGGAUCGUAAAACUCUGUUGUAAGGGAAGAACACGUACGAGAGGGAAUGCUCGUACCUUGACGGUACCUUACGAGAAAGCCACGGCUAACUACGUGCCAGCCGCCGCCGUAA
rnacentral:rRNA from 1 species